CGGAAGGCACAACAAUACUGAUCUGUUUCAUUAAUAAAAAGCAAGUUCGUCGGCGGCGGUAGUUCGAUCUACCGCGUUCCCAGCUGCCAGUCGGCGCGGUGUCUCUUUCAUCCCGUCGAUCGCUAGUCACCCUCGCCGGACGGCUGCACUGCUCUGACUCUAGGCUGUGCCUCGGUGUACCGACGCCGUCCGCGCGCCGCGAUAGUGGUGCCUUCCGCCGGGCGUGCAACGGAGUAAUCGAACUCAUCAAGCCAGGAAGAUGAGCACCAUCACUCGCGCUCCCUCGGCUGCUGCGGCCGUUUUUUAAAUCGAUUGGCGACGGCACGGCAUGGCGGCGUGCUAACAGAUCCACCCACGUAUCAGAUCAAAGCAGAGAUGAUCGCGGCGUUUCUUCAUCCAAGCGCAGCCGAGUAGCCAAUCCGUUGCACUAGUCAGCGUGCUUCGUCCCUUGGUCGUUUCCAGGCGACGGUGCCAGCUGCUAUCGGUGCCACGCCAUGCUGAUGGCGAUGAAGUCGACGAUGCACUAUUUUCUGGGAUAGAUACUACUUUUUCCUCCUCCUUUUUUCAAACAACUAUACUCCUUUUUCCAUCAAUGAUAAAAGUAGUAUCAUAACAUACUGCUUUUGUUUUGAAUAUAUAUACUAUCUUUUUUUUUGCGGGGGAAUAUGUAUACUAUCAAUUUCAUCUAGUAUACUUCAUUUUAUGGCUCAUUAUAUAAACCAUUCGGUGAAACCAAGUGAUAUAAAUACUAUUUU